rnacentral:rRNA from 1 species
AGAGUUUGAUCCUGGCUCAGAAUCAACGCUGGCGGCGUGCCUCAGACAUGCAAGUCGAACGCGAAAGGCCCCUUCGGGGGGCCGAGUAGAGUGGCGCACGGGUGAGUAACACGUGGGUAAUUUGCCUUCGGGUGGGGAAUAACAGCCGGAAACGGCUGCUAAUACCGCAUAAUGCAGCGGCAUCUAUGAUGACAGUUGUUAAAGCGGGGGAUUCGCAAGAACCUCGCGCCUGAAGAGAAGCCCGCGGCGGAUUAGCUAGUUGGUAGGGUAAUGGCCUACCAAGGCGACGAUCCGUAGCCGGCCUGAGAGGGCGGUCGGCCACACUGACACUGACAUACGGGUCAGACUCCUACGGGAGGCAGCAGUCGGGAAUUUUGGGCAAUGGGCGCAAGCCUGACCCAGCAACGCCGCGUGAAGGAUGAAGUUUUUCGGAAUGUAAACUUCACAAGAAUGGGAAGAAUAAGUCCUGGCUAACAUCCAGGACGAUGACGGUACCAUUUGUAAGCUCCGGCUAACUCCGUGCCAGCAGCCGCGGUAAUACGGGGGGAGCAAGCGUUGUUCGGAUUUACUGGGCGUAAAGGGCGCGUAGGCGGCGCGACAAGUCACUUGUGAAAUCUCCGGGCUCAACUCGGAACGGCCUAGUGAUACUGUCGUGCUAGAGUGCGGAAGGGGCAACUGGAAUUCUCGGUGUAGCGGUGAAAUGCGUAGAUAUCGAGAGGAACACCUGCGGCGAAGGCGGGUUGCUGGGCCGACACUGACGCUGAGGCGCGAAAGCUAGGGGAGCGAACGGGAUUAGAUACCCCCGUAGUCC